CUAGGUAUCUGUGUUUGCGCUUUUGUUUUCUGUAAGUAAAUUGCUAUCUUGGAAUUAUGAAUCUAAUUUGUCGUAGAAUUUUUGUGCUUAAAGGCUACAUAAAUGCUAGGAAUGGUAUCCUGGAGGGAGGUCAUAGUAUCUUAUAUUUCCAAGUAGGAAUUCGCAAAUCAUUGCAAAACAUCUACACCCUCCAGUCACAAAUCAUUGUGAAACAUCUAUAUCCUCCAUCAUUAUUCUGUCCUGGAUUAUGAAGACUAAUAAAUAUUGCAAUGACUGGAGGGAUUCAUAUAUAUAUUUUUUUUAAUUUAAAGUUUCUUAUUUUCCUCAAUCUGACUUGUCUGUUUUAUACUUGUAAUGAUGGCUAUUUUUCCAGGUCAACGAUUUGCGCCUCUUCUU
rnacentral:misc_RNA from 1 species